GCAUUAAGGGGACCUUAAUGGCUAGAAGGCAAAUUCGUGUUACAGUAUUCCUGCAGUCUCGGCUUUAUUGCUCUGGACAUCUGGUACAGAUGAUGAACAACAUGAAUGCCUUAAGCUGUUUUGUAUCCCCAUUAAAAGCACCAUGGAUGACUGACAG